CCCCUCAUCUUGUCGGUGAGACUAGUAGGUAGAGAUUCCUGUGUGAAUAACAGGGUACAGGUCAGAAACUGUGAGUACAAAAACAAAGAUCGCCAUAAAAUGAAGGUGCGAAUUACUGUCGGGCUUGUCCUUGUAGUUUUAGCUCUGUUUGCCAUGGCAACGGUUACCAACGGCGCUCCACAGGCCGCGGUAAGAGCCAAACGUGGCACUUGCUUCUGGCGAUGUGGCUACUGGGGUCACUUCCUGAUCUGCCCAUGGCGGUACGUGGUCCGAGGAGCGUGUGGCUCGGGGAGGGACGCGGAUUGUUCUCACCACUACUGCGGCAAAAAUACCUGGCACGCCAUCUAUUGUUGUCCGCAAUAAAUUCGACUGCCAGAAAUGCGAGAAAUAUCCGAAAUAUUCAAACAAAUGGAUAAGAAAUUUUUAACUAACUGUGCAAAUUUAUGAAAUGAUGUGUUUUUCUAGUUUCGACUUAUUUGGAAAAUGUUACAGUUUUGGCUUACUUCCAAUUUUCAGUUUGAAUAAUAUCAAAGUUUGAAAGCAG